GGCUCAGGAUGAACGCUGGCGGCAGGCCUAACACAUGCAAGUCGAGCGGGGUUUUCGGACCUAGCGGCGGACGGGUGAGUAAUGCGUAGGAAGCUACCCGACAGAGGGGGAUACCAGUUGGAAACGACUGUUAAUACCGCAUAAUGUCUACGGACCAAAGUGUGGGACCUUCGGGCCACACGCUAUCGGAUGCGCCUACGUGGGGAUUAGCUAGUUGGUGAGGUAAUGGCUCACCAAGGCGACGAUCUCUAGCUGGUUUGAGAGGAUGAUCAGCCACACUGGGACUGAGACACGGCCCAGACUCCUACGGGAGGCAGCAGUGGGGAAUUUUGGACAAUGGGCGCAAGCCUGAUCCAGCAAUGCCGCGUGCAGGAUGAAGGCCUUCGGGUUGUAAACUGCUUUUGUACGGAACGAAACGGUGAGCUCUAAUACAGUUUGCUAAUGACGGUACCGUAAGAAUAAGCACCGGCUAACUACGUG
rnacentral:rRNA from 1 species